CUAAUAAUCGAUAAUCCACGUUAAUUUUUUUACUUUUUAUUAAAAAUUUAUAUACCUCCAUUUUAUAAAUUUAUAUAAAUAUUUAUUUUGAAUAAAAUUAUACUAAAAAAUUAGGUCAAGGUGUAAUCAAUAUAAAAGAAUAAGAUGUGUUACAUUAAAUAUUAUUUAAGGAUUAAAAAAUUACGAAUAUAAGAAAAAGAAUUUAGAAGUAAUUUUACAAAUAGUAAUAAAACUUGAAUUAAAAAUAAAGUGUACACAUCG
rnacentral:rRNA from 1 species